rnacentral:rRNA from 1 species
CAAUAGCGUAUAUUAAAGUUGUUGCAGUUAAAAAGCUCGUAGUUGGAUUUCUGGUGGGAGCGAUCGGUCUGGCGCUUAGCGCGAGUACUUGCAUCGUCUCCGGCCAUCCUUGGGGAGAGUCUGUCUGGCAUUAGGUUGUCGGGCAGAGGAUCCUCAUCGUUUACUGUGAAAAAAUUAGAGUGUUCAAAGCAGGCUUAUGCCGUUGAAUAUAUUAGCAUGGAAUAAUAAGAUAGGACUUUGGUACUAUUUUGUUGGUUUGCGCACCAAAGUAAUGAUUAAUAGGGACAGUUGGGGGUAGUCGUAUUCCGUUGUCAGAGGUGAAAUUCUUGGAUUUACGGAAGACGAACUACUGCGAAAGCAUUUACCAAGGAUGUUUUCAUUAA